ACAAAUUGCACAGAGCUGGAUACAGAAGACUGGCAAGUAUAGCUCAGAAGCUGUGCAUUGCCUGUGCAGACGAUACCUCCCAUAAAUCCACUAGCCAGCUUCAUGAAGUGCUUCUGCAUCGUGAGUCACUAAGCGCCAUGUCAUUUGUGAAAGAAUGCAGGUUCUGCCUAUCCUGGUGGUUUCUUCAGUGGUAGUCUGUGUGACUGGAGAAUUCAGACCACAUAGGAUACUUUCUUUCUAGAUUUAUUUUCUUAGGUUUUCUUAGGAUGGCACAGUAUUUGAUUUCUGUAGCUGGUAUUGGGGAACUAAGUACCAUCCUGCUUGAGGACGCUACCCACCUUGUCAAGAUUUGUCGUUUUAACCUUGCUGAUCCACAGAAGACAGGGCAGCUAAAAUCAUCCAAUGUAGUGGCUGAAGGUCUAAGGAGAAUACUGUGGAUAAAGCUCAGGGCUUGACUGAUACCAGGUGCAAGACACAUUUUAUAUGAUGCUGGAUACUGCAUCCACUGCUGAGAAAAAGACCCAGCAAGACCAAAGUUGCUGUGAAAAUUGAUGUUUUACAGAAAAUAAACUGUAACAGAUUAGACUUGGCUUGCCUAUGGUUUAAUGAGAAUGUAUACAUUUGUUUGAUAUGCUGUCAUUAACACCAAAGUUUCUUAUUAUUGAUAUUUUAUUAAAAUAUAUCUGUUUCCUUUGAGGUAGGAGGUGGAAGUCAUUUAAUAAUAUUUUUUCAACUUUAUUACCGGUGUGUACACAACGUUCAACCAUCAUUGAAAUCAAUGAUUUAUUGAGUUUUAAUUCAACUUACAGUAGCAGGUAGCAGCAAGUAGGUAGACUGCAGUUGAAUAAAAGAUCAGAAAUAUAUAUGUGUGUGUUUUAAUCCCUGG
rnacentral:lncRNA from 1 species